AUUGAACGCUGGCGGCAUGCCUUACACAUGCAAGUCGAACGGUAACAGGUUAAGCUGACGCGUGGCGAACGGGUGAGUAAUAUAUCGGAACGUGCCAAGUCGUGGGGGUUAAUGUAGCGAAAGCUACGCUAAUACCGCAUACGAUCUACGGAUGAAAGCGGGGGAUGGCAAGACCUCACGCGAAUGGAGCGGCCGAUAUCAGAUUAGGUUGUUGGGGAGGUAAAAGCUCACCAAGCCUACGAUCUGUAGCUGGUCUGAUAGGACGACCAGCCACACUGGAACUGAGACACGGUCCAGACUCCUACGGGAGGCAGCAGUGGGGAAUUUUGGACAAUGGACGCAAGUCUGAUCCAGCAAUGCCGCGUGCAGGACGAAGGCCUUCGGGUUGUAAACUGCUUUUGUACGGAACGAAACGGUGAGCUCUAAUACAGUUUGCUAAUGACGGUACCGUAAGAAUAAGCACCGGCUAACUACGUGCCAGCCGCCGCCGUAA
rnacentral:rRNA from 1 species